rnacentral:rRNA from 1 species
GCUCAUGAUGAACGCUAGCUACAGGCUUAACACAUGCAAGUCGAGGGGCAUCAGGAAGAAAGCUUGCUUUCUUUGCUGGCGACCGGCGCACGGGUGAGUAACACGUAUCCAACCUGCCCUUUACUCGGGGAUAGCCUUUCGAAAGAAAGAUUAAUACCCGAUGGCAUAAUGAUUCCGCAUGGUUUCAUUAUUAAAGGAUUCCGGUAAAGGAUGGGGAUGCGUUCCAUUAGGUUGUUGGUGAGGUAACGGCUCACCAAGCCUUCGAUGGAUAGGGGUUCUGAGAGGAAGGUCCCCCACAUUGGAACUGAGACACGGUCCAAACUCCUACGGGAGGCAGCAGUGAGGAAUAUUGGUCAAUGGGCGCUAGCCUGAACCAGCCAAGUAGCGUGAAGGAUGAAGGCUCUAUGGGUCGUAAACUUCUUUUAUAUAAGAAUAAAGUGCAGUAUGUAUACUGUUUUGUAUGUAUUAUAUGAAUAAGGAUCGGCUAACUCUGUGCCAGCAGCCGCGGUAAUACGGAGGAUCCGAGCGUUAUCCGGAUUUAUUGGGUUUAAAGGGAGCGUAGGUGGACUGGUAAGUCAGUUGUGAAAGUUUGCGGCUCAACCGUAAAAUUGCAGUUGAUACUGUCAGUCUUGAGUACAGUAGAGGUGGGCGGAAUUCGUGGUGUAGCGGUGAAAUGCUUAGAUAUCACGAAGAACUCCGAUUGCGAAGGCAGCUCACUGGACUGCAACUGACACUGAUGCUCGAAAGUGUGGGUAUCAAACAGGAUUAGAUACCCUGGUAGUCCACACAGUAAACGAUGAAUACUCGCUGUUUGCGAUAUACAGUAAGCGGCCAAGCGAAAGCAUUAAGUAUUCCACCUGGGGAGUACGCCGGCAACGGUGAAACUCAAAGGAAUUGACGGGGGCCCGCACAAGCGGAGGAACAUGUGGUUUAAUUCGAUGAUACGCGAGGAACCUUACCCGGGCUUAAAUUGCAGUGGAAUGAUGUGGAAACAUGUCAGUGAGCAAUCACCGCUGUGAAGGUGCUGCAUGGUUGUCGUCAGCUCGUGCCGUGAGGUGUCGGCUUAAGUGCCAUAACGAGCGUAACCCUUAUCUUUAGUUACUAACAGGUUAUGCUGAGGACUCUAGAGAGACUGCCGUCGUAAGAUGUGAGGAAGGUGGGGAUGACGUCAAAUCAGCACGGCCCUUACGUCCGGGGCUACACACGUGUUACAAUGGGGGGUACAGAAGGCAGCUAGCGGGUGACCGUAUGCUAAUCCCAAAAGCCUCUCUCAGUUCGGAUCGAAGUCUGCAACCCGACUUCGUGAAGCUGGAUUCGCUAGUAAUCGCGCAUCAGCCACGGCGCGGUGAAUACGUUCCCGGGCCUUGUACACACCGCCCGUCAAGCCAUGGGAGCCGGGGGUACCUGAAGUACGUAACCGCAAGGAUCGUCCUAGGGUA